AGGGCACCACCAGGAGUGGAGCCUGCGGCUUAAUUUGACUCGACACGGGGAAACUCACCCGGCCCGGACACCGUAAGGAUUGACAGAUUGAUAGCUUUUUCAUGAUUCGGUGGGUGGUGGUGCAUGGCCGUUCUUAGUUCGUGGAGCGAUUUGUCUGGUUUAUUCCGAUAACGAGCGAGACUCUAGCCUACUAAAUAGUUCGCACAUUGUCUCUGUGUGUGUGACUUCUUAGAGGGAUUUUCGGUGUUCAGCCGCACGAAAUUGAGCAAUAACAGGUCUGUGAUGCCCUUAGAUGUCCGGGGCUGCACGCGCGCUACACUGGCAAAAUCAGCGUGCUUGUCCUUCCCCGAAAGGGGUUGGUAAACCCUUGAAAAUUUGCCGUGAUUGGGAUUGGAAAUUGCAAUUAUUUUCCAUGAACGAGGAAUUCCAAGUAAGUGCGAGUCAUCAGCUCGCGUUGAUUACGUCCCUGCCCUUUGUACACACCGCCCGCCGCUGCCCGGGACUGAGCCAUUUCGAGAA
rnacentral:rRNA from 1 species